rnacentral:rRNA from 1 species
UGGGUAACCUGCCUCAAAGAGGGGAAUAGCCUCCCCGAAAGGGGAGAUUAAUACCGCAUAAUAUGUUUAGGUCGCAUGACUUUAACAUCAAAGGAUUUUCUUUUAGAAAUUCCACUUUGAGAUGGACCCGCGGCGCAUUAGCUAGUUGGUGAGGUAACGGCUCACCAAGGCAACGAUGCGUAGCCGACCUGAGAGGGUGAUCGGCCACAUUGGGAAUUGAGACACGGCCAGCUCCGUAGGGAGG